rnacentral:lncRNA from 1 species
UGAGGUUUCUGCUCAGAAUUCCAGUUUUCCCAGUUCCUUCCAGACCUCAGCCAGGACUUAAGCUGAUAUGCAAAUAGAAGAAGCUUGGGGCACUCAGCAGGAGACAGAUUUCAGGCCCAAGGAAAAAAAAAAAAGGUUAAAGUGUCUUUUUACCUGAACUCAAACUAGACCCCAACCAAAAAGUAAAUUAUAUGGUAUUUAUUAAUUACUGGCCAGUCAUCUUUUUUAGGACUCUUGCUUUUUCUUAGAUUCUGUAUUUUUUUUUUUUUUUUGGAGCUCAUGAUUUUAAUCCCACAGACAGGUUAAUGUUUUCUGAUCAGUCCUAUUUCUGAUCAACUGUGGAGUUUUUAAACAUUGCAAUGGAGAUUUCACCUGAAAAAGCUACUAGGGUGUUACACUUGUGUUAUGUGUUGUAUGUCGGUAUGUCUGUAUGUGUGUAUGUCCAUAUAUCCUGCAGUGAUAUGACAAUUAACAGAUGAGGAGCGCUCAUAAAAAAAUUUAAAAAUGGAUCCAAAUAUCUUUGAUUCACGUGAUUCAAAUGGUUCAAUUUAAAUUGGGUAAACAGAUAAAAGUAAAGAUGUCUUUAAAAUUAAGCUUAUAAGUUUUUCUAGGUGUUCAAAAAGAC